rnacentral:rRNA from 1 species
CUGGCGGCGUGCCUAAUACAUGCAAGUCGAAUGGUAGCAAUACCAUGGCGAACGGGUGAGUAACACGUAGGUAACCUGUCUUUAAGCCGAGGAUAACCAUUGGAAACGAUGGAUAAUACUGGAUAGGACAUUUGAAGGCAUCUUUAAAUGUUUAAAGAUUUAUCACUUAGAGAGGGGCCUGCGGCGCAUUAGCUAGUUGGUGAGGUGAAGGCUUACCAAGGCGAUGAUGCGUAGCCGGACUGAGAGGUUGAACGGCCACAAUGGAACUGAGAACGGUCCAUACUCCUACGGGAGGCAGCAGUAGGGAAUUUUCGGCAAUGGGCGGAAGCCUGACCGAGCAACGCCGCGUGAACGAAGAAGUAUUUCGGUAUGUAAAGUUCUUUUAUUAGGGACGAAAAGACAGAUUGACGGUACCUAAUGAAUAAGCUCCGGCUAACUACGUGCCAGCCGCCGC